AUACGUAGGGGGCGAGCGUUGUCCGGAAUGACUGGGCGUAAAGGGCGUGUAGGCGGCGCUGUAAGUCUGGAGUGAAAGUCCCGCUUUCAAGGUGGGAACUGCUUUGGAUACUGCAGUGCUCGAGUGCGGCAGAGGUAAGUGGAAUUCCCAGUGUAGCGGGGAAAUGCGUAGAGAUUGGGAGGAACACCAGUGGCGAAGGCGACUUUCUGGACUGUUACUGACACUGAGGCACGAAAGUGUGGGGAGCAAACAGGAUUAGAUACCCUGGUAGUCCACACCGUAAACGAUGAGCACUAGGUGUCGGGGGAGCAAUUUCUCGGUGCCGCAGUUAACGCAUUAAGUGCUCCGCCUGGGGAGUACGUACGCAAGUAUGAAACUCAAAUGAAUUGACGGGG
rnacentral:rRNA from 1 species